AUUUCCAAUCGUAGAGAGAGUUUAAAGAAGAAAAGAAAUUAGAAUUGGAGGAGGAUCGCGGAUGCCAAAUCGAGCAUUGCCAUUAAGAAAAUGGUUGAUUCGGGUUAAAUGGGAAAGGCUGCCCGUGCUUGCAAGCUUACCGACAGGCUCACGCACUCACACGAGCAUCGACCGAGUUUAAUAUAGACGCGCGUUCGUGCCGCGUUCUCUUCUUGCAUACCGAAAGUGGACCUCGACGACGAAACCAUCACGACUGUUGCUCAGUUCGCUACGGUGAAUACGUUUAUUUUUCUCUUGUCGAUUCCGUCAAGCCAGACGGUACGUCGGCACGAGAUUAAAACGGUGGUGGAUGGCUCGGUUCAACGUUAUUCUAGCGAUCAAAAUUCAACGACUGAAAGAAAAAUUUUUUUUUCGUCAUUUCGACUCGUGUCUUACGCGAUUCGUAUAACUGCGUUUAUAGAGAAUUGUCUAUGCAAACAAUUUUGAGGAGUGGGGGAUUCUUAAUAUAUUUCGGUAUAUCAAGAGUCGCAUAUGCUUCAGAAGAUGGAUGUUAAUUUAGGAAGACUUUGGUAUCUUGUUAUCUCUAAUGAUGGAAUAUCCCAUUCCUAAAUUGGAUUUCCAAUCAAUGAAAGAAAAAUCAAGAAUAGCGAGUUGAGAAAAUGGUCGCAUAAAUCCAUAAAUGCAAACUGAUAUUCGAUAAUAAAUGUCGUAAAAUUUUUGUCUAUCGAAAUUAAUUUUAAAUGGCUAAUACGAUUCGCAAAUAGGAGUUUAUCAGAAUAAAAAAUUUUUUUUGCAAAAAUUAUAAAUUAAAAAAAAUAUAUAAAAAUAAAAUGACAUAUAAGAUAUACAAAGGUUAGAAAAGUAUUUGCAUCUUGUAGGUGAACUUGUUAUUUCACAUGUACAUGUUACUACCACUGCGAUGUGAUAAAAGAAUAUUAUGAGUUUUAACAGGAAUUUCAAUGACACACUUUGAAAGUCUAUGCUAAGAACAUUUGGAAUACUAAUUGCCGGCUUGAAUGAAAAUUCCAUAGCUACGUGUACCAACGCGGCCACCUAUUUCCGUAAUUGCAAUGACUGUACUGCCACGGAUCCAGCUUGUAAAUCGUUGUGAUAACACGUAUACACUGUGCAUAUAACAUGUACGGCGAACAGAAAUGUCCUACGUUCACUUCGAGGAAAACAUUUUUGUAUUUCCUGCUUCCUUGUCUUCUUCUUCAUUUUAUUUAUUCAAAUUUUCUUAAUCAUAUUUGCGGAUAAUCUUCAUGAAUAUGUGAUAGCUAAUAUACGAUAGCAUUGUAAAUUAUUAUUUAACGCUUAGUUCCAGGGAAUGUGAAACAUACAUUGAUAAAAUAUUGAAGUUAUAAUUUAACACAAAUAUAAUGUUAUUAUAAAUAUUAUUAUUCAAAU